CCACGGUCCACCAGGCUGGUUACAAGGGGUCUGGUACUUCUACGGGCCACCAUACGAAGGCAUUUGAGCCUUCCUCAGGUCACCAGGCUGGCUACAUGGGAUCCCAACCUUCCACUGGUCACCAGGCUGGCUACAUGGGAUCCCAACCUUCUACUGGUCAACAUGCUGGUUACAUGGGAUCCCAACCUUCUACAGAUCACCAGUCUAGUUACAUGGGAUUUGGAACUUCUACAGAUCAGGGUUAUGGUGAUGCCAAUGGUUUUGUCAAUACACAAGGCUUUGUUCCAACGGGGAGUAUGUACAACAGCCAGAAACAAGCUCAUGCAAACACCCAA
rnacentral:lncRNA from 1 species